AAUUUUUAAAUUUGUACAGGAUCCGAACCAGUCCUGAUCCAAAUAAAAUAUAUAUUAUAUUAUAUAUAUAUAUAUGAGAAAGCAAGAGGCUGGAGAGGAGAAGUUAAAAAACCUGCAAUCGCGGCACCUACAACGUCACUUUUGGAGUCACCUACGUUGACAACAAGCCUUGUCUCAAACUGGGGAUUGGAAGAGUAGAAAUCACUAAUAGACAUGUUGAUGCAGAGCAUGACAACCUUCGAGUGUGAAGUAUCGACAUCUGUUACAACACCGACAUCGACUAGGGUUUUGCCGUUGUUCUGUCCUCUGUUGAAUUCCAAACAGAAGAAGAAGACGAGCAAGAUGCAGAAGAAAAGCUUUUCGGUCCUCAUUUGGAGAUUUUUCUUUCUUCUUUUAGGUGAUAAGUGAUAGAUGAUGCUUAUUGGUUUAAAUAAUGCACACAUAUAUAGCAAAAUUUUAGAUAGUUGCUGAAUUUUUUAAUAUCUCAUCCUAAUAAGCAAUGAAACAUUGUGAAGAUAAGAAGCAAAUACGAUUUCAAAGUUCGCGGCAAUGUUUAAUACAG
rnacentral:sRNA from 1 species